rnacentral:rRNA from 1 species
GACAGAGGGUGCAAGCGUUGUUCGGAAUCAUUGGGCGUAAAGGGCGCGUAGGCGGUUUUGUAAGUCGAAUGUGAAAGCCCAGGGCUCAACCUUGGAAGUGCAUCCGAAACUGCGAAACUUGAAUCCUGGAGAGGGUGGUGGAAUUCCCAGUGUAGAGGUGAAAUUCGUAGAUAUUGGGAGGAACACCGGUGGCGAAGGCGACCACCUGGACAGAGAUUGACGCUGAGGCGCGAGAGCGUGGGGGGCAAACAGG